rnacentral:lncRNA from 1 species
CAGAAAACUAACAGAAUCCAUGAAUUUAUUGUUCAAAGAUUUAUUCAUGGGUAACAUUUCAUAAACUCUCCAUCUCACUCCAGAUCUGGGAUGUGCUUCAUUAUUUCUGAGAAAAGGAAAAUGAAGAUGUAUUUCUUCCUAUUUUUCUAUAAAGCUUCUUCACAGGUCAGCAAAGAAGGUCCGUUGACUCAACACCUGGUCAGCUGCUCUCAUGUUCUCAACAAAAGCACCAAACUUAUGUGGAAGACCUUAAGUGGAUGCAAUUGUCACUGCAGUUGGAAGCCAAUCAACGCGUUGUGA